GUGCCAGCAGCUGCGGUAAUACGUAGGGUGCAAGCGUUAAUCGGAAUUACUGGGCGUAAAGCGUGCGCAGGCGGUUCGGAAAGAAAGAUGUGAAAUCCCAGGGCUUAACCUUGGAACUGCAUUUUUAACUACCGGGCUAGAGUGUGUCAGAGGGAGGUGGAAUUCCGCGUGUAGCAGUGAAAUGCGUAGAUAUGCGGAGGAACACCGAUGGCGAAGGCAGCCUCCUGGGAUAACACUGACGCUCAUGCACGAAAGCGUGGGGAGCAAACAGGAUUAGAUACCCUGGUAGUCCACGCCCUAAACGAUGUCAACUAGCUGUUGGGCCUUCGGGCCUUGGUAGCGCAGCUAACGCGUGAAGUUGACCACCUGGGGAGUACGGUCGCAAGAUUAAAACUCAAAGGAAUUGACGGGACCCGCACAAGCGGUGGAUGAUGUGGAUUAAUUCGAUGCAACGCGAAAACCUUACCUACCCUUGACAUGUCUGGAAUGCCGAAGAGAUUUGGCAGUGCUC
rnacentral:rRNA from 1 species